rnacentral:rRNA from 1 species
UCCCAAGAAUAUUAGUCAAUGCUCGUAAGAGUGAACUAGCUAACUGAAAUCAUAGAAUUUUUUUAAGUUCAUGAUGUCGUAAGGGAAAAUAAUGAUAAUACCUUACUAUGAGUGUCGUCCAAAUCUGGUGCCAGAAGACUCGGUAAGACCAGAGACGCAAACGUUAAUCAUCAUAAACAGGCGUAAAGGGUUUGUAGGCAGCUUUUAUAAGAUUAAAAAAAUUAAUUUAAUUGAAAGCUAGAAUCAAAAAGAGGUUAUAGUGUAUAACGCCUAGAGGAGGGCUGAUAUCCAUAGAUCCUAGGCAGAAUACUUAGGGCGAAGGCCACUCUCCACUAAUGAUUGACGCUGAGAAACGAAGGUUAGGGUAGGAAAUAGGAUUAGAUACCCCGGUACUCCUUUCUGUAAACGAUGAAUGGUAGUCAUUAGUUAAAUUAAAUAACUAGAGGCGAAGUUA